UUUUUUCCACCCACCUUUGAACUACCUUGAAACAAUAAAGUGUUCUCUUUUGACAGGCUGGCCUAAUGGGAAGGUUGACCUGAUUUCCACUCUCCUACCGAAAAGUGACAAUGCAGCCGCUGGGCCAAGGAGGGACGUUGUGUGACCAGUUCAGAGGCAGGAGUUCACGCGGCUGCAGUGAGGAGGGACGUUGUGUGACCAGUUCAGAGGCAGGAGUUCACGCGGCUGCAGUGAGGAGGGACAUUGUGUGAUGAGUUCAGAGGCAGGAGUUCACGCGUCUGCAGUGACCCUCUGCAAAAGGAAGCAACUGGACAUUUCCUCUACACAUUGUCUCUUUUGAAAAGUUCCAAGCAGAUGCUGACUCACCCACUAAAGCUGAGGCCGAAGGAAAUUCUCCGAUGACAAGGCUCUGCAGGUGCCAUACGGAGCGAGUGCUUUUCAGGCAGCUGGCGGAGCCCAGAGCAAGCUUCCCCCAGAGCAUCCGAAGGGGCCACUUGGCUGCAGUCGCCAUCGCGAGAACAACAGGAAACUGAGCAGGGGCUGCUGUCGUCCUGGGCAGGACAGCUCUCCAUUUCCCUUCAGGCCUGGCAUUGUUUUGCUGAUGGAAGAAAAGUGGAAUGGGGCGUGAUCACACUGCCGGCUCAGCAGCUGGAAAGCUCAUGUGUUUGCUUAAAUGUGCACAAGAUAAGGAAACUGAGACACAAAAAUGGGGGAUGACUUGCCCAGGAAGCUGGACCACAUCACACAACGUUACUAUUGUAAUACCUUUAUCAAGAGUACCUCACAUGGCAACAAUGGGAGAAAAGUCAUACAGCUGGCUGCGUCAGGGAGAAAAGGAAGGGUGCCCCUGGAGGCCACGGGAGACCAAGACAAUCCCUCUGUGGCUCAGAGUCUGGUAAUGGCUUAAUUAUCUUGCGGGAAAAAAAUGUGAACUGGCUACACCUCCUGAUCCAUGAAAUUGCAAUUACCCUGAAGAGUCGUUCAUCAACUGCCCUUUUGAAGGUGGGAGGGACAGCAUCUGAGGCUGCACAUUUUGACGCACACACAGCUUCCCACAGUGACACAGUGGGAGGGACGGCGGCCGGGGUGAGGAAUCCCGAACGCGGCUUCCCCUCUGCCUUGGCUACACAGGCGUUCUUUGGUUUAUUGCUUCUCCUCUCUGCACUGCACAUUCUUUACUUAAAAUAUGGCUGUGGUUCAGAAGAUGGGUUUUUGCCCACUUAGGGCAUGUGCUCACUGAUUUAAAAACUUCUCCACUCCCUACCACUCUCUGUUGUCUAAUGAUGCAUUUCAGUUCAUUGAUUAAUUGAUUGAGAUGGAGUCUCCCUCUGUCACCCAGGCUGGAGUACAGUGGCACAAUCGUGGCUCACUGCAACUUCCACCUCCUGGGUUCAAGCAGUUCUCCUGCCUCAGCCUCCCACGUAGUGGGAUUGCAGGCGCCUGCUACCACGUCCAGCUAAUUUUUUUAUUUUUAAUAGAGACGGGGUUUUGCCAUCUUGGCCAUGGUUGGCCAGGCUGGUCUUGAACUCCUAACCUCAGGUGAUCUGCCCGCCUUGGCCUCCCAAAGUGUUGGGAUUACAGGCGUGAGCCCCUGUGCCUGGCCCUGCAUUUCAUUCUUUUAAGUUCUAUGACUGGCACAUGCCCUAAAGCUGGGCUGCCAGAUUUAGUAAAUUUAGUAUAAGUAUGUGUUGUGUAGUAUUUGGAACAUGCUUAUAUUUUAAAAGUAUUAAUUUUUAAUCUGAAAUUAAAAUGUAACUGGGCAUCCUGUGUUUUAUCUGGGCAUUUCACAGAAGCAUUUGAGUUUGAGACUCCUAGACUAGAGGGUUUG
ensembl:lincRNA